GUCCGCAAGUAUUAGUAAAGCAGCGAACGGGUGAGUAACACGUAAGUAACCUGCCUUUAAAUUUGGAAUAACCACGAGAAAUCGUGGCUAAUACCGGAUGUGGUCCUUUGGUCGCAUGAUCGAAGGAUUAAAGAUGACCUCUACUUGUACGUCAUCGUUUAAAGAUGGACUUGCGCACCAUUAGCUAGUUGGUAGGGUAACGGCCUACCAAGGCUUUGAUGGUUAGCCGGCCUGAGAGGGUGUACGGCCACAUUGGGACUGAGAUACGGCCCAGACUCCUACGGGAGGCAGCAGUAGGGAAUUUUUCGCAAUGGACGAAAGUCUGACGGAGCAACGCCGCGUGAGUGAUGAAGGUCUUCGGAUUGUAAAACUCUGUUGAGUGGGAAGAAUAGCCUGAGGAGUAAUAUGCUUUGGGUAUGACGGUACCACUCGAGGAAGCCCCGGCUAACUACGUGCCAGCAGCCGCGGUAUACGUAGGGGGCAAGCGUUGUUCGGAAUCACUGGGUGUAAAGGGAGCGUAGGCGAGAAGGUAAGUUAGAAGUAUAAUAUAUGGGCUUAACCCAUAGCCUGCUUUUAAAACUGCCUUUUUUGAGUAUGGGAGAGGAAGAUGGAAUUCCAGGUGUAGCGGUGGAAUGCGUAGAUAUCUGGAAGAACACCAGUUGCGAAGGCGAUCUUCUGGCCCAAUACUGACGCUGAGGCUCGAAAGCUAGGGGAGCAAACAGGAUUAGAUGCCCUGGUAGUCCUAGCCUUAAACGAUGGACACUAGAUGUUGGAAAGGGUUUUCCUUUUCAGUGUCGGAGCUAACGCUUAAGUGUCCCACCUGGGGAGUACGCUCGCAAGGGUGAAACUCAAAGGAAUUGACGGGGGCCCGCACAAGCGGUGGAGCAUGUGCUUUAAUUCGAUGCAACGCGAAGAACCUUACCUGGGUUUGACAUGGGAGUGAAAGUUUCCAGAGAUGGAAACCUUUCCGCAAGGAACACUCUACACAGGUGCUGCAUGGUUGUCGUCAGCUCGUGUCGUGAGAUGUUGGGUUAAGUCCCGCAACGAGCGCAACCCUUGUCCUUAGUUGCCAUCAGGUCAAGCUGGGAACUCUAAGGAGACUGCCUAGUAUAACUAGGAGGAAGGUGGGGAUGACGUCAAAUCAUCAUGGCCCUUACAUCCAGGGCGAGACACGUGCUACAAUGGCCGGUACAGAGGGCUGCUAAACCGUGAGGUUGAGCUAAUCCCCCAAAACCGGUCUCAGUUCGGAUUGGAGUCUGCAAUUCGACUCCAUGAAGCUGGAAUCGCUAGUAAUCGCGGAAAAGUACGCCGCGGUGAAUACGUUCCCGGGCCUUGUACACACCGCCCGUCAAGCCAUGAAAGAUGGCAGUACCCAAAGCCGUUACUUCAACCCGCAAGGGAGGAGGACGUCUAAGGUAAAGCCG
rnacentral:rRNA from 1 species